AACAAAUAGGCCUACUCAAAUCCCUAACUUGAUUAUCGCUCGGACAACCGCUAGUAGAAAGAGAUUCAACAAACCAACGGCAAAUAGAACAAGCAAGCUAAAACCCAUAAACAACCAUGCAAAAACAAAGAUCAUGGGCCCAAGUUAAACAUUUAAGUAUGAAUCAGCCAACCACAUAGAAGGAAGAAAAUGGAGGAGGAGCAAGACCCUAAUUAGCAUCUUAGUCUCAUGUAGCCAGGGCGGU
rnacentral:misc_RNA from 1 species